UACAGAGGUCUCAAGCGUUGUUCGGAUUCAUUGGGCGUAAAGGGUGCGUAGGCGGCGCGGUAAGUCGGGUGUGAAAUCUUGGAGCUUAACUCCGAAACUGCAUUCGAUACUGCCGUGCUUGAGGACUGGAGAGGAGACUGGAAUUUCCGGUGUAGCGGUGAAAUGCGUAGAUAUCGGAAGGAACAUCAGUGGCGAAAGCGGCUUCCUGGACCAGUACCGACGUUCAGGCACGAAAGCGUGGGGAGCAAACAGG
rnacentral:rRNA from 1 species